AGAGAGAGACAUGCGUGCAUAUCAAUAAGCGGAGGAAAAGAAACUAACAAGGAUUCCCUUAGUAACGGCGAGUGAAGCGGGAAGAGCUCAAAUUUGAAAUCUUAAAGGGUUUCCCUUUACGAAUUGUAGUUUAAAGAAGUGUUUUCUGUUGGAGUUUUGGUAAAAGUUCUUUGGAAUAGGACAUCAUAGAGGGUGAGAAUCCCGUAUUUGACCAUUAUUUCCAGCUUUGUGAUACACUUUCAAAGAGUCGGAUUGUUUGGGAAUGCAGUCCAAAAUGGGUGGUAAAUUUCAUCUAAAGCUAAAUAUUGGCGAGAGACCGAUAGCGAACAAGUACCGUGAGGGAAAGAUGAAAAGAACUUUGAAAAGAGAGUUAAACAGUACGUGAAAUUGUCAAAAGGGAAGCGUUUGACACCAGUGUUGUUUUUCUGAAAAUCAAUUAAAGAACUGUUUAUGCUAAGCUGUUUAGACUUUAUCAGCUAACUGUUUAGUUUUGAGCUUUUCUUUAAUGCACUUUUCAGUUAACAAGUCAACAUCAAUUUCUUUUGCUGUAAAAAAGCUUGAGGAAGGUGGCUUGAGAUUCGUCUUAAGUGUUUAUAGCCUCUUGCCUAUGCAGUCGGAGAGAUUGAGGUCUGCAGCGUAGAUCCUUCGGGGCUAAAUGCAUUUGUGCUAGUUAUAGCAUUUUAUAGACAACUUGUUGACUAUGAUUUGUCUUGUAGCUUACUCGCUUAUGCUAUUUUACCUACGCUUAGGAUGUUGAUGUGAUACUGCGAGCA
rnacentral:rRNA from 1 species